rnacentral:rRNA from 1 species
CAGUAGCCACGGUAAUACGAAGGGGGCUAGCGUUGUUCGGAAUUACUGGGCGUAAAGCGCACGUAGGCGGAUAUUUAAGUCAGGGGUGAAAUCCCAGAGCUCAACUCUGGAACUGCCUUUGAUACUGGGCAUCUUGAGUAUGGAAGAGGUGAGUGGAAUUCCGAGUGUAGAGGUGAAAUUCGUAGAUAUUCGGAGGAACACCAGUGGCGAAGGCGGCUUACUGGCCCGAUACUGACGCUGAGGAGCGAAAGCGUGGGGAGCGAACAAGAUUAGAUACCCCCGUAGUCCCUGUCUCUUAUAC